CAACUUUUAACAACGGAUCUCUUGGUUCUCGCAUCGAUGAAGAACGUAGCAAAGUGCGAUAACUAGUGUGAAUUGCAUAUCAGUGAAUCAUCGAGUCUUUGAACCGAUCUUGCGCCUGAUGGUAUUCCAUCAGGCACGCCUGUUUCAGUAUCA
rnacentral:rRNA from 1 species